UAUCUUGCUUUAUUACUGUUCUGUAACCUAAAUGUUGUUUUGAAAGGAGUUUGUCCUUCCAAACAGAUAUUUAUCUAAUUGUGCUCUGUUUUUUUUUUUUUACAGUAGGGAAAAUCCCAUUGGUUUUACCUGAGCGAACCACACUUGACUACCUAAGAGAGUUUCGCUUUAAGCAGGAACUGAAGAACCAAACCACUGUUGGUGUAACGAAGCCAAAGAGCCAGAUACUGCAAAGUUCAAGUUAGCAGCGUGUUCCCUCCAAACUAUCAUAAGUCAAAAGUUGCCAAAGGGAUGCAAUUCCAGAUUUUGCAAAUGUGGCAAGUAUAAAAAAAUCUAUCAGAAUUUACCAGUAUUGGUGAGCAAAUAAUCAGGAGGGAAAUCGCCAUCAAGUACUUUAAUUGAAAUGAGAAUUCAACAUUAGCCUCAAAUAUUUCAGGCAGUUACAUUCUUUAAGGGAAAAUAAUCCAGAAAAGCAAACGGAGGGGCUCAGUGGUAGAAAAUUCUCUAAAGUAUUCUAGCAUCACCAUCCUUAAAAACAGGGCCCAUUUGUCCAGAAGCAUGGCUUUUCUACAGUGUUUUCAUUUGAUAAAUUUGCCCAUAAAUUCCCCUGGGAAUCCACCUCGUGUACAGACAGCUUAUGCUCCAUUUGCUCUGUUCAGAGGAGCAAAAUAGGCAUUACUGGCAGAAGUUCUUCUUUGCCAACAUCUGCAGAUUAUUUCUUCUAAAUGAGAGACUUUGUUUUAAAUUAAUCAAUAUUACAGAAAAUGCAGCAAACGCUUUCCAUUGACAUCUCCCUGCACACCUUGGCAGGUGCACAGGUGUCCACGACAGGUCUGCACACAGCUGUCUGAGGGGUUUCCAGGCCUUGCAAUAACAACCAUUUCUGAGCAGUAAUGCCAAACCUCCACAAAGAUCCAGUGCUGGUGGUGAUAGGUAGAGCAUUUCUUACUGUACUCAGAUCCACAGAGCCCAGUUCAAAGAAGCAGCAAGUGUUGCCCAGUGUUUGAAGCUCACUUUUCUUUCUCAGUGUACAUCAUCCAUCCAGAUGACAGCAGCCAUUCAGGAAAGCCUCUCCUUGACCACCAAGUGCUGGAUCUAUCGCAAGGUGGGAUGGGAUGAAAGAAUCCUUGAGUUGAGUAUCAUCAGUUGUAGAGCUUGUUACCACUGGAGGUUUUAGGUCUAAUCUAAUUUCAGGUUUAAUCUAAAAUUAAACAUCAGGUCUAAUUGAUCUAAUUGAUCUACCACCAGUCUGAGCCAUUUUUACAUCAGAGUAAUUUUUCUCCCUCUCUGUUCAGCUGACAAAGUGUUUUAAAUGCUUGUGAGCUCUUUACAUAGGAAGGGAAGAGCGAUCCAGCCACAAUUUGCUGCAGCACCUUCCAGACUGUGGGUUAAAACGAAAGAGCAGUCACAGCCCUGGAGCACCCAGCAGAGAUUUCCUGUUCCUCUGCCAAGCCAUGGUGGGGUUUCUAACCGAAAGAAAAGAAUUUAAUGAGUCCAUAGCAAAGCAAAUUAAGCUAAGUGCAGUGUGAUUAGGCCGCUAGCACUAAUCUUUAAAGGCAACAGCAUUUGAUCAAGGAAGGUGUCCUCCAAAACUGAUCUUAAAAAGGCAAUCAAAAAUUUCUGGCAAUGAAUAGCCAAAGUUGAGGGAUAGUGGUUUUUGGGGGGAGGUUAUCCCAGUUGGUAAUGUUUCCUUCUGAACAGGGCUUAUUGUGGUAUCAGCUGUGCAAUAAAUAUUUUACAGUUUAUCACCACUGCCAAGAGCUGACCUUUGCUGCAGCAAGAAACCACUUGUUUAAAGUUUGGUGGCUGCAGUUCAUUCAGGAGAUUAUGAACCCCCCUACAGGUUGUUUGUUUGUUUGUUUGUUUUACUAAGGGGGAAACCAUGGAAAACACAAGUGCAAGGUGUGUUACCCAGAAAUGAAAUGGUUCUAAAGAAGAGAAAACUGAUUGGCGAGGCAUCACGCGGGGAUGAAAGCCUCUGAUAACCACCUUCAAGAAAGAGUGGCAGGUGUGACACAUCACCAUGAGAUCUAACUCCCUUUACAGUAAUUCCUUCAAAUAUUCACUUGGGGCACACAAAUCACACACUGGUCAUGCAGGAGGGGAGGAGGGAGCAGGCUGCUGGGAGAGCCAAGCAUCAGCAGUGGGUAUGGAUGGAGUGACUAGACAUGACAAAAUAUCCACACACCUUGAUGCUAAGCAGCGACAGAAGGCUGUAUGACAGGGAAAUUUUCAACCUCACUACAGUUUCUCUGUUCUCUUUCUCUCUUUUUUUUUUUUUCCUCCACAAAACAAACAAGAACUGCAAAAACAAUAUAUAUGACGUUGAAGAGCAAAUUGUACCACAAGCCAUUGUUAGAAAUGGAUUUGCACAGAACAAGCAAGCUGUCUCAAAUCAGGUAUAGCCCAGCUGAAAACACUCUGCUUGUCAAGCCAGCUUGAAGCCUGGGGAGAGUGACUAGCUCUGGCAGGGGUACUCUGAGGGGCACUGAAAUCCUGUUUUGCUUUGUCUCCACCUGCCCAUAUAAAAAUACAAAGAAACAGUUUGCAUCUGA